rnacentral:rRNA from 1 species
CACGUAGGGUGCGAGCGUUGUCCGGAAUUAUUGGGCGUAAAGAGCUCGUAGGCGGUGUGUCGCGUCGGCCGUGAAAACUUGGGGCUUAACUCUGAGCGUGCGGUCGAUACGGGCAUCACUUGAGUUCGGCAGGGGAGACUGGAAUUCCUGGUGUAGCGGUGAAAUGCGCAGAUAUCAGGAGGAACACCGGUGGCGAAGGCGGGUCUCUGGGCAUUAACUGACGCUGAGGAGCGAAAGCAUGGGGAGCGAACAGG